rnacentral:rRNA from 1 species
GUCGAGAAUUUUUCUCAAUGGGGGCAACCCUGAAGGAGCGACGCCGCGUGGAGGAUGAAGGUCUUCGGAUUGUAAACUCCUGUCAUUAGGGAACAAACCUCCCGGUUAACUGCCGGAGAGCUGAUAGUACCUGAAGAGGAAGAGACGGCUAACUCUGUGCCAGCAGCCGCGGUAAUACAGAGGUCUCAACCGUUGUUCGGAUUCAUUGGGCGUAAAGGGUGCGUAGGCGGCGGGGCAAGUCAGGUGUGAAAUCUCGGGGCUCAACCCCGAAACUGCACUUGAUACUGCCUUGCUCGAGUACUGGAGAGGAGACUGGAAUUUACGGUGUAGCAGUGAAAUGCGUAGAUAUCGUAAGGAAGACCAGUGGCGAAGGCGAGUCUCUGGACAGUUACUGACGCUGAGGCACGAAGGCCAGGGGAGCAAACGGGAUUAGAUACCCGAGUAGUCC